GUAAGGAAUAUUGGUCAAUGGAGGCAACUCUGAACCAGCCAUGCCGCGUGCAGGAAGACGGCCCUCUGGGUUGUAAACUGCUUUUAUCCGGGAAUAAACCUGCCUUCGUGAAGGUAGCUGAAUGUACCGGAAGAAUAAGGAUCGGCUAACUCCGUGCCAGCAGCCGCGGUAAUACGGAGGAUCCAAGCGUUAUCCGGAUUUAUUGGGUUUAAAGGGUGCGUAGGCGGCCUGUUAAGUCAGGGGUGAAAGACGGUGGCUCAACCAUCGCAGUGCACUUGAUACUGAUGGGCUUGAAUGGACUAGAGGUAGGCGGAAUGUGACAAGUAGCGGUGAAAUGCAUAGAUAUGUCACAGAACACCGAUUGCGAAGGCAGCUUACUAUGGUCCUAUUGACGCUGAGGCACGAAAGCGUGGGGAUCGAACAGGAUUAGAUACCCGUGUAGUCC
rnacentral:rRNA from 1 species